rnacentral:tRNA from 2 species
GCCGGGAUCGCCUAGCUCGGUAGGGCGGCGGCCUGCUAAGCCGUUGAGGGAAACCUCACGCGGGUUCAAGUCCCGCUCCCGGCG